UCGGGAAUUUUGGGCAAUGGGGGAAACCCUGACCCAGCAACGCCGCGUGAAGGAUGAAGUAUUUCGGUAUGUAAACUUCGAAAGAAUAGGAAGAAUAAAUGACGGUACUAUUUAUAAGGUCCGGCUAACUACGUGCCAGCAGCCGCGGUAAUACGUAGGGACCAAGCGUUGUUCGGAUUUACUGGGCGUAAAGGGCGCGUAGGCGGCAUGACAAGUCACUUGUGAAAUCUCUGGGCUUAACCCAGAACGGCCAAGUGAUACUGUCACGCUAGAGUGCAGAAGGGGCAAUCGGAAUUCUUGGUGUAGCGGUGAAAUGCGUAGAUAUCAAGAGGAACACCUGAGGUGAAGACGGGUUGCUGGGCUGACACUGACGCUGAGGCGCGAAAGCCAGGGGAGCAAACGGGAUUAGAUACCCGCGUAGUCCCUGAGCGGGCUGGCAAGGCGCAU
rnacentral:rRNA from 1 species